rnacentral:rRNA from 1 species
AGAGUUUGAUCCUGGCUCAGGACGAACGCUGGCGGCGUGCCUAAUACAUGCAAGUUGAACGCUUGAUUUUCACCGAAGCUUGCUUCACCGAAAAUCAAGAGUAGCGAACGGGUGAGUAACGCGUGGGUAACCUACCUAUCAGCGGGGGAUAACUAUUGGAAACGAUAGCUAAUACCGCAUAACAAUGUUGGAUGCAUAUUCGACAUUUGAAAGUACCAACUGGUACACUGAGAGAUGGACCCGCGUUGUAUUAGCUAGUUGGUAGUGUAAUGGACUACCAAGGCGAUGAUACAUAGCCGACCUGAGAGGUGAUCGGCCACAUUGGGACUGAGACACGGCCCAAACUCCGUACGGGAGCA